ensembl:miRNA predicted gene, 26308
CCCGGAGGGGUGGGGGCGCUGCAGACCCCGAUGGUUGAGAAGAGAACACGGUUUUCUGGGCAUCCCCAG